UACGGAGGAUGCAAGCGUUAUCCGGAAUGAUUGGGCGUAAAGCGUCCGCAGGUGGCUGUGUAAGUCUGCUGUCAAAGAGCGAAGCUCAACUUCGUAAAGGCAGUGGAAACUACACGGCUAGAGUGCGUUCGGGGCAGAGGGAAUUCCUGGUGUAGCGGUGAAAUGCGUAGAGAUCAGGAAGAACACCGGUGGCGAAAGCGUUCUGCUAGACCUGUACUGACACUGAGGGACGAAAGCUAGGGGAGCGAAUGGG
rnacentral:rRNA from 1 species